AAAAACGGAGAACUGAGGUAGUUUAGUUAGUUUUUCUUCCUGCAGUAUAGCGUUCAGUGCAGUGUUAAAUCAUUUAAAUGGAUCCCAUACUGUUUAUACAUGGAUGCACAUGCUAACAGAAGUACAGGUUGCAACAUACUUAUGAGCUGCCGGGACAGAAAGAGAGGCAGAGAUAUGACACAAAGAAGAACGAGUUUUACUGCAAGAAGGGGGAGGACAAAUGCCAUGUUUAACCCUUCUAGAGCCGCAUCAUUCAGGCGUUUCUCCCAGCACCAGUGAUCAGUGGGCAGAUGUGGAUUUCCAGUAGCUCUGUUCAGUUUUCUGCCUCGCGGCUCAGAGGGGCUGGCUAAUAAUUUGUCGGCCCCUGUGGGGCGUGUGGACAGCACAUCAACAACAGGCCCAGUGUUCAGAUCUGAUGAGAGCAAGGCUGAUCUGGCCACUCUGAAGGCAGGAGGGUAGGAAGAGUGAAGGAAAGGAGGGCAAAAGGAAGCAAAGGAAUGGUAUUGCUGCACAGAUCUCUCUCUCUCUCUCUUUUCAGGCUGUCAGUGUGUGGGGUUUCAUGAGUUUGUGGGGCCAUUGUUAGACUUCCAUACUAACAUGCAUUACCUCUAUAGGGGGACAAAGGGCAAGAGCAACCAUUUCUCCACCUCAGGACACGUGCUUUUCUCUUGAUUAAAACAACAUGUUUUUUUUCUGAUUGAGAGGUGUUGUGCAACAAUGUCCCUCCUUUGCAGGUCAAACAGCAAAUCCAUGAAAGCUGCAGAACACCGCAUACGAUCGCAUCGCAAAAUACAUUUCUACACUCUCGGAGUGAAGCAAAGACGUCAAAAAGAAGAUUGAGCAAUUUAUGCAGGUGGACUCGCCUCUGUUAUCAGUUUAAACAACAUACGCCACAGAUUGUGUCCGCUGGCCUCACAGCAACAUACCUGUGGGUCCACCUGCACUCCAUCCUUACAUGAGAAACUGUACCUGUCUAUAUUAUAUUCUCACACUGAGCCUCCAAAUCUUCAUAGCAUAAAUAUUUAUUUUAAGAAGGUACGAGCACGGUGCCAGCCAGGUUUCAAACAACUCAUAGACCAAUUACCCAUCAUCAAACGCGCACAUCUGCCAUCUAGUGGUAGAACAGCGUAAAUACAAACAAGAUAAGCGUUAUAUAGGAUUUGAAGCAUCAUUUGUUUUCUUUGCCCAGACAACAAAGAGGUCAUUUUAUUGAACUGGACUCAGAUUUGAACUGAUCUCAAUAAUUACGAAUAAAGUGGUGAAAUGUAUUUUAACGUCUGUCCGCAGCUGCUGAUGGCCGGCCAUCUAAAGGAGGAAUAAUGUACUUUCAUGAGUUGCUGCUGAAAAUUAGAAAAUAUCAGAGGAAUAAAGUCACUUUUGUUCAUUACUCUCAUCAUUGCAUCUGGGCAAUUUUGGAUCGUAAUCGUUUGGAAAUCCCUCUAACAAUUAAACCAAAAACUCCAGUCUAGCAGUAAUAAACACGUGGAUGGAUUCAGCAUCAGUUUAAGACACGGAGCUUCUUAAUAUUAUGCAAAUCUUAAUCUCCUCACAGUUGAACUGCUGGCUGAAGAAAUGCCCUCCAGAGUGAUGAUGUGGGUGGCAAAUCUAUUCCCGAAAUUUGGGUUUAACACCUGCCCCACAGAGGACUGCUCUGUUGAGCAAUUCCAAUAUAAAGGCAACAUCCCUUAGCCUACAACAGUGAUUAGGUUUCCAAAAAAAAAAAAAGAAAAAAGCUGGGUCUAGUUUUCAUGCAAACAUUGUGGGAGGAAAUGUGUCAAUUUGAUUUGUAGGUUUUUGCAUGGAAAUGGGAAAUGCAAAACCAAAGAUUGAGGUAAAAGACACAGAGCACCUAAAAAAAACACGUGAAAAAAAGUGAUGUGCGCCAUUUAAAGAAGCUGCUGAAGCUAAUCGGAUAGCAUUCCUGGUUUUAUUAAAAUGAUACCACCCGGUGAAUCAUCAACAGUCAUAACACACAAAAUAGACCGAAAAGGUAAAGGGGACCCCAUAUAUGCACAGAAAGCGGAUCCACAGAGGAGAUUUAAGAAAUCCAUUUAGUGUAUAAACAUGGGCUGUUGACUUUGGACUUCCUGAGAAUAUACACCACAAAUGUAAAUGUAGGUCAAUAUUUGAGGGCUCAUUUAACAUGAUUUGAACACCUUCAGCUGGGCGGAAAAGGGCCAGCACCAAUCAGACCUAUAUCUGGGCUUUUACGUAAUCUUGUAUACGAAUGAUGGACAGUGUUAAAGUGCUGCCUUUA
rnacentral:lncRNA from 1 species